AGAGUUUGAUCCUGGCUCAGGAUGAACGCUGGCGGCGUGCCUAAUACAUGCAAGUCGAGCGAACGGACGAGAAGCUUGCUUCUCUGAUGUUAGCGGCGGACGGGUGAGUAACACGUGGAUAACCUACCUAUAAGACUGGGAUAACUUCGGGAAACCGGAGCUAAUACCGGAUAAUAUUUCGAACCGCAUGGUUCAAAAGUGAAAGACGGUCUUGCUGUCACUUAUAGAUGGAUCCGCGCUGCAUUAGCUAGUUGGUAAGGUAACGGCUUACCAAGGCAACGAUGCAUAGCCGACCUGAGAGGGUGAUCGGCCACACUGGAACUGAGACACGGUCCAGACUCCUACGGGAGGCAGCAGUAGGGAAUCUUCCGCAAUGGGCGAAAGCCUGACGGAGCAACGCCGCGUGAGUGAUGAAGGUCUUCGGAUCGUAAAACUCUGUUACUAGGGAAGAACAUAUGUGUAAGUAACUGUGCACAUCUUGACGGUACCUAAUCAGAAAGCCACGGCUAACUACGUGCCAGCAGCCGCGGUAAUACGUAGGUGGCAAGCGUUAUCCGGAAUUAUUGGGCGUAAAGCGCGCGUAGGCGGUUUUUUAAGUCUGAUGUGAAAGCCCACGGCUCAACCGUGGAGGGUCAUUGGAAACUGGAAAACUUGAGUGCAGAAGAGGAAAGUGGAAUUCCAUGUGUAGCGGUGAAAUGCGCAGAGAUAUGGAGGAACACCAGUGGCGAAGGCGACUUUCUGGUCUGUAACUGACGCUGAUGUGCGAAAGCGUGGGGAUCAAACAGGAUUAGAUACCCUGGUAGUCCACGCCGUAAACGAUGAGUGCUAAGUGUUAGGGGGUUUCCGCCCCUUAGUGCUGCAGCUAACGCAUUAAGCACUCCGCCUGGGGAGUACGACCGCAAGGUUGAAACUCAAAGGAAUUGACGGGGACCCGCACAAGCGGUGGAGCAUGUGGUUUAAUUCGAAGCAACGCGAAGAACCUUACCAAAUCUUGACAUCCUUUGACAACUCUAGAGAUAGAGCCUUCCCCUUCGGGGGACAAAGUGACAGGUGGUGCAUGGUUGUCGUCAGCUCGUGUCGUGAGAUGUUGGGUUAAGUCCCGCAACGAGCGCAACCCUUAAGCUUAGUUGCCAUCAUUAAGUUGGGCACUCUAAGUUGACUGCCGGUGACAAACCGGAGGAAGGUGGGGAUGACGUCAAAUCAUCAUGCCCCUUAUGAUUUGGGCUACACACGUGCUACAAUGGACAAUACAAAGGGCAGCGAAACCGCGAGGUCAAGCAAAUCCCAUAAAGUUGUUCUCAGUUCGGAUUGUAGUCUGCAACUCGACUACAUGAAGCUGGAAUCGCUAGUAAUCGUAGAUCAGCAUGCUACGGUGAAUACGUUCCCGGGUCUUGUACACACCGCCCGUCACACCACGAGAGUUUGUAACACCCGAAGCCGGUGGAGUAACCUUUUAGGAGCUAGCCGUCGAAGGUGGGACAAAUGAUUGGGGUGAAGUCGUAACAAGGUAGCCGUAUCGGAAGGUGCGGCUGGAUCACCU
rnacentral:rRNA from 1 species